UAGGGAAUCUUCCGCAAUGGGCGAAAGCCUGACGGAGCAACGCCGCGUGAGUGAUGAAGGUCUUCGGAUCGUAAAACUCUGUUAUUAGGGAAGAACAAAUGUGUAAGUAACUAUGCACGUCUUGACGGUACCUAAUCAGAAAGCCACGGCUAACUACGUGCCAGCAGCCGCGGUAAUACGUAGGUGGCAAGCGUUAUCCGGAAUUAUUGGGCGUAAAGCGCGCGUAGGCGGUUUUUUAAGUCUGAUGUGAAAGCCAACGGCUCAACCGUGGAGGGUCAUUGGAAACUGGAAAACUUGAGUGCAGAAGAGGAAAGUGGAAUUCCAUGUGUAGCGGUGAAAUGCGCAGAGAUAUGGAGGAACACCAGUGGCGAAGGCGACGUUCUGGUCUGUAACUGACGCUGAUGUGCGAAAGCGUGGGGAUCAAACAGG
rnacentral:rRNA from 1 species